CCUUUAUUAAGUAUAUUCUAAAGUAGUAAUAUUGAAACUUAAAAUUUUGACGGUGUUUAUUUUCCAGAGGAAUAUGUAAUUUAAUCGAUAGUACACGAUAAUUUUUCUUAUUUUAUUUUUGUAUAUCUCCGUCAACAGAUUUUAUUUGAAAUUUAAGAAAAUUUCUUAAAAAUUAUUUUUAGAAUAUCAGGUCAAGGUGCAAAAUAAAUAAGAUAUUAUGUAUUACAAUCAAUUAUAUUGGAAUGGAUCAACAUUGAAAAAUUUUUUGAAAAUGAAUUUGUAAGUAAAAUAAUAUAAAACUUUAUUUGAAAAUUAAUAAACAUGU
rnacentral:rRNA from 1 species